GCAGUACUGCCAGAUGUCUGCCAGAGAGUGGGGAAGAGACAGGACCGGCACAGGGCCCCCCUCCAUUCCCUACCUAUUAGUGAAGAUCCGUUCGGCAGAGUAGCUGUCAACAUUAUAGUUGCGCAGGCACUUUGGUGACUCUAGAGAACCUCGGGCCAAUCGCACGUCCCCGUGACGGUGACUUUGCAUUCGGAUGUCUGCCCUAUCAACUUUCUGCACCUACCAUGGUGACCACGGGUAAUGUAGAUUCCAGAGAGGGAUCGAUUCCGGAGAGGGAGCCUGAGAAAUGGCUAUCACAUCCAAGAAAGGCAGCAGGCGCUCAAAUGACCCACUCCCGACGCGGGGAGGUAGUGAC